GUUUAUGCCCUUGAACAUAUUUGCAUGUGCUCAUAUCUAAAUCUUAGAUGUCAGCAUUAACUUUUUGUACUAUCUAUAAAAGCUUACAACUGUUUAGAUCACCCCAUGUUUACCUGAACAGAUGGUGCGAUCCAGUUUAGGCCAUUAAGAUAAGACACUGGUCGGUAGUUCAGGAGAAUGAGGCAUAUUUGUUUUUCAACCUCAUUUUUGACCUCACUGUGGUUUGUUUUAGACACCUGGCAGCUUUUCUCCGUGGUGUCAAUGCUACACAUCAAGUCAAAAGACUACAGAAGAGAGAAGGAAGCAUAGACUAAAGGGAUGAAAACUGAAGCCAAGCUGUUUUUCUCCCAGACAGAUGAAGUGAGGUACGACAACGAGCAGCUUGAACAUGGCCCUCGUCUUUUCCUCUCUGCAGUGGCCGACAUGUCACUCUGUCACUGCAUGAGCCUGCCAGGCAAAUAAAGAAAAGAUACACAUGAGGUGAAUAAAAAGAGUAAUACCCACUUCAAACAGCACUUCCCUCUAAUCCCUACACGCACUCAACCUUCACAUAGUCAAAAUAUACUGCUGACACUCCGACACUACCCACACUUUCCGGAGCAGACUUGAGGAGUAUCAAGAGACUGGUAAGGAAGGAGAUUAUUCACUCAGGGGGGAAAAAGAGACAAGAAGAGUCCACAUCUGUCUGAACUUUUUACCCAGCAUAUUUCUCUCUGUAUAGGUGCAAGUUCUUUCCAAAACCAGUCUCCUGUUCAGUGAGGUAGCAUCCUCACCUGCCGUCAUUAACUGCUAGUCAUCCUAUGUUAAUGUGGAUACACAAUGACAUUCGUAGAUGACACGUCUCUAACUGUCCCUGUUGCUUCUCCUUUUGUCUGCUGUCAAGUGGAAAUGGUGAACCCUUCAGAAUCAUGUCGAGGGCUCAUAAUAAUGUUUUUGAUAUUAUGUGCAAGGUAUUCUCUCAAUCUUUCUUUUAUAGAAACUGUAAUUGUUUGCUUGUAUUUGGGUG